GCUCUUGGGUUGUAAACCUCAAAACUUAGGGAAGAAAAAAAUGACGGUACCUAAUGUAAGCAUCGGCUAACUCCGUGCCAGCAGCCGCGGUAAUACGGAGGAUGCAAGCGUUAUCCGGAAUCAUUGGGCGUAAAGAGUCCGUAGGUGGCACUUCAAGUCUGCUUUCAAAGACCGAAGCUCAACUUCGGAAAGGGAGUGGAAACUGAAGAGCUAGAGUAUAGUAGGGGUAGAGGGAAUUCCUAGUGUAGCGGUGAAAUGCGUAGAGAUUAGGAAGAACACCAGUGGCGAAGGCGCUCUACUGGGCAUAUACUGACACUGAGGGACGAAAGCUAGGGGAGCGAAUGGGAUUAGAUACCCCAG
rnacentral:rRNA from 1 species